CGGCAAGGAAGACUGCAGGACAGCAUUCAAAUCCCUUCAGAUUGCCAGUUAGUGCAUUGCAAUGAUGGUUUUGACUGAGAUUUUAAAGGUGGGGUAUGUUUUUCCCUUAGUUCAUCGUCGGGUCGCCGAUGCAUUUGGAAGGGGAGGAAUGUAACGAGUGCCACCUGGGGGUUGGUGGUUAACUUCCUGAUGGGGAAGGAAGUGGAUAAAAGAGGCAGGAAGUGGAGGGAAAGGCCAGCUGUAACCUAUUGACGUCGGGUGAUGAGGUGAGCCUCAUGUCGAGGGUGAGCUUGUGUGGCCGCACAGGAUUUUAGAGGGCAGUGCACUACGGUUUCUGCGUAUGAGGGAUACCAAUACGCCAGUUGCCGGACGGCUAAUGCCACUGUUUCCUGCUGUCCUAAAUUUGUUUAGUUUUUCCUUUUGCAGUAGUUAGUUCCGCUUGAGUGGGGUGCUUGUGAUUGCAAAGACGUAGUUGUACAGUGGACUAACUACUGCCUUAUUUUUGUUUUUGUUUUUUGUUGUUUUGUUUGGGCUACUCCCUCGUCUAAGCAUAAUACAGUAGGUCAUCACACAGCUCAGUUCCUGGGCUCCGUAAAACCGGUGUGAAUUUGAGGUGCCUUCACGUGUGAGGAUUUGUAGUGGAAACUUCUUCCGUGUGCGGUGAUGUGUCAUUUCUAGGGUUUAUGGUUAUGGGGUUAUGCCUAGAACUGUAGGGUGUGUGACAAGCCUGAAUUAAGCUGAUGAGGAGUUCCUCUGCAUUUGUUAAUAAAAUCUUUCUAAUGAUUUGAAGCUUCCGAGGUGUUAUUGACACGUGAGUAGUAGGACCUGUUACAAUUGGUUUAGUAGUUUUCUGUUUGGAAAUAACCAGUAUGUUUAUGUAAACAAAGUUAAAUUCAAAUCUAUUGACGAUGGGGGUCCCUCAGGGCUCAAUCUUAGGGCCACUUCUAUUCAUUUUGUAUGUUAAUAACUUUAUGAAUUCCUCAUCUGUAUUACAUAAAAUAUUGUUUGCCAAUUACACAAACUUAUUUUUUCACACAAGAAUCCAAAUGAACUUGAACACAUCAUAAAUACACUCGGUUUCGGUGCAACAAGAAAAAACAAACUACAUUGUUUUCUGUUCUAAAAAAAACAUGGUGCAAAACAAAUUAGUGCUUAAAUAAAUAAACAGGACAUUACAAGUCAGCUAUACGACGUUCCUAAAGAUCCUUAGUGAUGAAUUUCUUCAUUUCAAAUGCCACACUAAUUUGACAAAAAAAAAAAAAAAUAAAAAAAUAUUUCAGCUUUGUUCUUUAAGUUGAGAUGUCUGCUUCCACUGCAUUUCUCACCCUAUGAAACUUUUAUAACUCGUUAGACAUUUCCAACCCUCCUUAACAAGCUGGAAAUUAUCCUAAAGAAAGCCAUACCUUCCUUACCAUGGUCUAAGUAUAAUUCUCCUACUAGACCUCUUAAUCAUUAGUCUUUGAGUAGAAUUACCUCCAGAAGACUUAUGUAAUG